rnacentral:snRNA from 1 species
AUACUUACCUGGCAGAGGAGAUACCAUUAUCAAGAAGGUGGUUCUCCCAGGGCGAGGCUCCCCCAUUGCACUCCGGUGUGUUGACCUCUGCGAUUUCCUCAAAUAGGGGAAACUCGACUGUGUAAUUUAUGGUAAUGGGGGACUGCCUGCGCCCUUUCCCCUG